UGCAGCAAGUAAACAAAGCUUGAUCUGGUGCAUGUAAUUGAGUAGAUUCAAAAUUCAUGAGAACAUUGUAAAUGUCUUGACCAUGCCCUUACUUUGUCCAGUGGAAUCUGGCUAUAAAAUAAAGACUCAGCUUGCAGGCUGUGGCACUGUCUCUCUAAUCAGAGGGCAGAGUCCCCCCUAGUCCCAGCUUUAUCCUCUUGUUUGUCUUUUCUAAUCCUUCACCUUGUCCCCUCAGGUUUACCCAUGACCGUGCUGCUGUCGCACAGAGAAAGUCUGUCUAUGCAAUGAACCUACACAAGACUUCACCAACUGGUGAGGUGAUGAAAACAAGAAUCUUCAGUCCCUGCAGUCCCUAAGGCCCUACCUCAGUUCCUCCAAGAUAACUCAGGGACUGUUCCGGAUGGGCACAGGCAUCUGUGAAUUUACUCACCUGGAGUCGCCUCUGCCUCCUGAGCCCCGGGUCAGAGAUGGGAAGUGCAAAGCCUCUCCUUGUGUUUGUGUGUGGAUGUUAUUUUUAAUGAUUAUGAUUCACAAUCCCUUUUCUUGUUCUUCAUGAUUUUCAGUUAAGGGAGGAAAUGGUGAAAACACACAUACACACACACACACACACACACACACCUCAACCAAAACACAAAGGUUUCUCAGAAAUUUUACCUGAAACUCUGGGGUUGCUGGAAUUAGGUAUGCAGAUUUCUGCAUCAUCCCUUAGGGAGCUGAGCUCACUGUGCACCCUUUAAAACAAGGGGAGAUUUUUCACUACUUUAAAAUUAUACCAGAAAAGCAUGCAGAUAAGAAGAUAACUAGGUUGUGAGGAAGCCCAAAAUAUUUGGUAAGAAUGCUCCAGUUUGGGAAAGUUUAACUGAAAUAACAAUUUGUGGGUAGAAUAUUAGCUGGGAAUUGGCUGUAGAUUGAAGGGCUUUGGGGGUAAGGGGAAGGAUGAAGUUUCUACUCAGGGUAUGGAAAAGGAUUCAGUAAAGCUAGGAGUCCUAUGUGCUCAGAGCUUAAUGUCCUAACCAGCCCCACAGAGCCUAAGGCAUGACCAGUAAGUAGAACCAAGAGAUUCCAUUCAGCAAAAGCAGACAAAAAAACAAAUCCCUUUUCUUUGUUUGUCUUGGUUGAAAACCAAACAUGGUAGUCAUAUGAAGAAAUUCCAGUGUUGGGAGUGUGAGGCCAGGAAGGGAGGGUAAAAAUGCUGGCAGCUUCUGACCACGGGGAAAUCACUCCAAAGGCUCCUCAAUGCCAUUGUCCAACACUGUGCUCUGGAAUGCUCACGGGUGUCCUUGCAUCUCCCCUGAUCCCAGCACACAGGACACUCUUUGCCCUUCCAAAUGUCAGCUAGCAAGAUUCGGCAUAUCUGUCUGGAACUGAGCAUCCUGAACCACUUGUGUGCAUCAAAGGUAAUUUCCAGCUGUUGUGGGAAAGCAAUGAAUGAAGAGAAAGUACUUAGCAUCUAGUGGAGGACAGGGAGAAGUAGGGAGAAGAUCCUAAAGGUCAAAUGCAAUGCCUCCCAUUGUUCAUGUACCUUUAAA